rnacentral:rRNA from 1 species
AUUGAACGCUGGCGGCAGGCCUAACACAUGCAAGUCGAGCGGCAGCGGGAAAGUAGCUUGCUACUUUUGCCGGCGAGCGGCGGACGGGUGAGUAAUGCCUGGGAAAUUGCCCAGUCGAGGGGGAUAACAGUUGGAAACGACUGCUAAUACCGCAUACGCCCUACGGGGGAAAGCAGGGGACCUUCGGGCCUUGCGCGAUUGGAUAUGCCCAGGUGGGAUUAGCUAGUUGGUGAGGUAAUGGCUCACCAAGGCGACGAUCCCUAGCUGGUCUGAGAGGAUGAUCAGCCACACUGGAACUGAGACACGGUCCAGACUCCUACGGGAGGCAGCAGUGGGGAAUAUUGCACAAUGGGGGAAACCCUGAUGCAGCCAUGCCGCGUGUGUGAAGAAGGCCUUCGGGUUGUAAAGCACUUUCAGCGAGGAGGAAAGGUUGAUGCCUAAUACGUAUCAACUGUGACGUUACUCGCAGAAGAAGCACCGGCUAACUCCGUGCCAGCAGCCGCGGUAAUACGGAGGGUGCAGGCGUUAAUCGGAAUUACUGGGCGUAAAGCGCACGCAGGCGGUUGGAUAAGUUAGAUGUGAAAGCCCCGGGCUCAACCUGGGAAUUGCAUUUAAAACUGUCCAGCUAGAGUCUUGUAGAGGGGGGUAGAAUUCCAGGUGUAGCGGUGAAAUGCGUAGAGAUCUGGAGGAAUACCGGUGGCGAAGGCGGCCCCCUGGACAAAGACUGACGCUCAUGUGCGAAAGCGUGGGGAGCAAACAGG